rnacentral:rRNA from 1 species
AUUGAACGCUGGCGGCAUGCCUUACACAUGCAAGUCGAACGGCAGCGGGGACUUCGGUCCGCCGGCGAGUGGCGAACGGGUGAGUAAUGUAUCGGAACGUACCAUUCAGUGGGGGAUAACUAUCCGAAGGGAUAGCUAAUACCGCAUAUUCUGUGAGCAGGAAAGCAGGGGAUCGCAAGACCUUGCGCUGAUUGAGCGGCCGAUAUCAGAUUAGCUAGUUGGUGAGGUAACAGCUCACCAAGGCUACGAUCUGUAGCGGGUCUGAGAGGAUGGUCCGCCCCACGGGGACUGACUCACGGACCGGACUCCUACGGGUGGCAGCAUUGUGGAGUUUGGGACAGUGGGCGCAAGCCUGAUCCAGCCAUGCCGCGUGAGUGAAGAAGGCCUUAGGGUAUUAAAGCUCUUUCAGCCGGGAAGAAAUCGCAUCAGCUAAUACCUGGUGUGGAUGACGGUACCGGAAUAAGAAGCACCGGCUAACUACGUGCCAGCAGCCGCCGUAACAC